CUGUUAUUGUCAAUAUCUGCAUCCAACUAGGCACAGGUGUUAUAUAUGUUUUUUGGAAAGAGCAUGCUUUGGUUAUGCUUUUAAUGCUUAUUUUGCUAGCAAUCUUGAGUUCUUCAGCUCUAGCUGUUCCAUCUACUAAAGUUUACCUAGAGAUAAAAUAUAGUAAGAAACUUAAAUUAGCUGUGAAGGAAUGCUCCGAGAACACUGAUGUACCUGUAUAUAAGAGAAUGAGAGAAAAUCUGCCUAAAUAUUGGAUGAUGGCUCAUACCUGUAAUCCCCAGUUUGUGAUUGGAAGACUAGCAACAUGCACUGCAUCGGGGGCGUUCUGCCUACUUAGCGCUGUGAUUUUAGCAGAAGCUAUGCUUCGAUCUUAUUUUGUGCCCCGGUCCUUCAAGUUUUGCCAUGGUGAUUCUGACUACAAGUGGUCGACUACAUCAAUUCUUGUAACUCAAAUCAUAGCAGUAGGAGUAGGUACUAUUGCCCCAGCUUUUAGAUGGUUCACAGCCAUUAAAUU
rnacentral:lncRNA from 1 species